UCCCGCUUAGCUCAGUGGUAGAGCGCGUCACUAGUACCCAGAGGUUACGAAAUGACGAGGUCAGUCGUUCAAGUCGGCUAGCGGGAA